rnacentral:rRNA from 1 species
AUUGAACGCUGGCGGCAUGCUUUACACAUGCAAGUCGAACGGUAACAGGUCUUCGGCUGCUGACGAGUGGCGAACGGGUGCGUAAUACAUCGGAACGUGCCUAGUAGUGGGGGAUAACUACUCGAAAGAGUAGCUAAUACCGCAUGAGAUCUACGGAUGAAAGCAGGGGACCUUCGGGCCUUGUGCUACUAGAGCGGCUGAUGGCAGAUUAGGUAGUUGGUGGGGUAAAGGCUUACCAAGCCUGCGAUCUGUAGCUGGUCUGAGAGGACGACCAGCCACACUGGGACUGAGACACGGCCCAGACUCCUACGGGAGGCAGCAGUGGGGAAUUUUGGACAAUGGGCGAAAGCCUGAUCCAGCAAUGCCGCGUGCAGGAUGAAGGCCCUCGGGUUGUAAACUGCUUUUGUACGGAACGAAAAGCCUGGGGCUAAUAUCCCCGGGUCAUGACGGUACCGUAAGAAUAAGCACCGGCUAACUACGUG